rnacentral:rRNA from 1 species
GACGAACGCUGGCGGCGUGCUUAACACGUGCAAGUCGAACGGAAAGGCCCGGCUUUUGUGGGGUGCUCGAGUGGCGAACGGGUGAGUAACACGUGAGUAACCUGCCCUUGACUUUGGGAUAACUUCAGGAAACUGGGGCUAAUACCGGAUAGGAGCUCCUGCUGCAUGGUGGGGGUUGGAAAGUUUCGGCGGUUGGGGAUGGACUCGCGGCUUAUCAGCUUGUUGGUGGGGUAGUGGCUUACCAAGGCUUUGACGGGUAGCCGGCCUGAGAGGGUGACCGGCCACAUUGGGCCUGAGAUACGGCCCAGCCUCCUACGGGAGGCAGCAGUGGGGAAUAUUGCACAAUGGGCGGAAGCCUGAUGCAGCAACGCCGCGUGCGGGAUGACGGCCUUCGGGUUGUAAACCGCUUUCGCCUGUGACGAAGCGUGAGUGACGGUAAUGGGUAAAGAAGCACCGGCUAACUACGUG